GCACCCUGAUCCCAUCCAAGGCUUCUGCAGCGCGCUCAGGUGUCUUCUCGAGGCCUGCGCCUCAAAUCUCAUGGUGGCCUCACCCCACAUCUCUUGAGAAAAUCAGCGUUUUGCCUGAAAAGCCAGAGGUGUGGGCAAACAGCAUCAGUAACGGCCGAGGUGGGUGAGAAGCAAACUGCCUCAAGACUCCGGCUUUCAAAUGGGUCACGCCGUGCCCCUGCCUCCUUCAGCCGCAGCUCUGGUAGAGGCAUCCUGCGGAGCAGCUCAGCGACUCUCUCGCGUAGAGCAACAAGCCGAGCGUCCCACACCUGACAGAGAAAGCCAAGAGAAGUUUGAAUCGGCGCUGGCUUGCCGGUGGAAGUCAAAGACGGGAAAGCCCGGAGAAAGGAAGAUGAAAU